rnacentral:rRNA from 1 species
GAUGAACGCUGGCGGCGUGCCUAAUACAUGCAAGUCGAGCGAACAGACGAGGAGCUUGCUCCUCUGACGUUAGCGGCGGACGGGUGAGUAACACGUGGAUAACCUACCUAUAAGACUGGGAUAACUUCGGGAAACCGGAUCUAAUACCGGAUAAUAUAUUGAACCGCAUGGUUCAAUAGUGAAAGACGGUUUUGCUGUCACUUAUAGAUGGAUCCGCGCCGCAUUAGCUAGUUGGUAAGGUAACGGCUUACCAAGGCAACGAUGCGUAGCCGACCUGAGAGAGUGAUCGGCCACACUGGAACUGAAACACGGUCAAGACUACUACGGGAGGCAGCAGUAGGGAAUCUUCCGCAAUGGGCGAAAGCUUGACGGAGCAACGCCGAGUGAGUGAUGAAGGUCUUCGGAUCGUAAAACUCUGUUAUUAGGGAAGAACAAAUGUGUAAGUAACUAUGCACGUCUUGACGGUACCUAAUCAGAAAGCCACGGCUAACUACGUG